AUGUUGUCUUUCAGUUUUAUAUUUGUUCUCUUAAUUUCAUUUGUUUCUUAUGCAAGGGUUCUCAAAAAUUACUUUUGUAGGCAAGACAAAACUAAAAAGGUGAUCUGGGACAAGUGGAAGGAGGGAAGCCGUUGUAAGAUCGAUAAUAACUUGCCGACAAGAUCAUGUUCGUUUAGACCUUUCCUUACUAAAAGUUAUUUAUCUGUCGCAAGUGUUUCUGUUGGAACUAUCAAAUUCAAACUCCUAGAUGUCUAUGUCAGGAUGUAUAACUUUGUCCAGGUAGAGAUAUCCCCACUGAUCUUUUCGUGA
rnacentral:rRNA from 1 species